rnacentral:rRNA from 1 species
CAGUAGCCACGGUAAAACGUAGGGGGCGAGCGUUGUCCGAAGUUACUGGGCGUAAAGCGCGCGUAGGCGGCUUCUUAAGUCUGAGGUGAAAGGUUCAACGCUUAACGUGAACAGUGCCUUGGAUACUGGGGAGCUUGAGUAUGGGAGAGGGCAGUGGAAUGGCUGGUGUAGCGGUGAAAUGCGUAGAUAUCAGUCGGAACACCCAUGGCGAAGGCAGCUGCCUGGCCUAAUACUGACGCUGAGGUGCGAAAGCGUGGGGAGCGAACGGGAUUAGAUACCCCAGUAGUCCCUGUCUCUUAUA